GCGGGUGUCGCCAAGUGGUAAGGCACCACCUUCCCAAGGUGGUAUUCGUGGGUUCGAAUCCCAUCACCCGCUCAA
rnacentral:tRNA from 1 species